rnacentral:misc_RNA from 1 species
CGCACAUUGCGCCCCGUGGUAUUCCGCGGGGCAUGCCUGUUCGAGCGUCAUUACACCUCUCCAGCCUCGCUGGGUGUUGGGCGGCGCGGCCUUCUGGGCCGCCCGCCUCAAUGUCUCCCGGCCACGCCGACCGUCUCCUAGCGUUGUGACAUCCACAGUUCGCUUCGGAGGCUGGCCGUCGUGUCGCCGUCGACCCCCCCAUUUUUUCUAGGUUGACCUCGGAUCAGGUAGGGAUACCCGCUGAACUUAA